CAAGUCGAGCGGCAGCGCGGGGGCGACCCUGGCGGCGAGCGGCGAACGGGUGAGUAAUGCAUCGGAACGUGUCCUUGAGUGGGGGAUAACCCAGCGAAAGUUGGGCUAAUACCGCAUGAACUCUGAGGAGCAAAGCGGAGGACCGAAAGGCCUCGCGCUUGGGGAGCGGCCGAUGUCCGAUUAGCUAGUUGGUGGGGUAAAGGCUUACCAAAGCGACGAUCGGUAGCUGGUCUGAGAGGAUGAUCAGCCACACUGGGACUGAGACACGGCCCAGACUCCUACGGGAGGCAGCAGUGGGGAAUUUUGGACAAUGGGGGCAACCCUGAUCCAGCCAUGCCGCGUGAGUGAAGAAGGCCUUCGGGUUGUAAAGCUCUUUCGGACGGAACGAAAUGGCUCUGGCUAACAUCUGGAGUUGAUGACGGUACCGUAAGAAGAAGCACCGGCUAACUACGUGCCAGCAGCCGCGGUAAUACGUAGGGUGCGAGCGUUAAUCGGAAUUACUGGGCGUAAAGCGUGCGCAGGCGGUUUCGUAAGCUGGAGGUGAAGUCCCCGGGCUUAACCUGGGAACGGCCUUCAGGACUGCGAGGCUUGAGUACGGCAGAGGGAGGUGGAAUUCCGCGUGUAGCAGUGAAAUGCGUAGAUAUGCGGAGGAACACCGAUGGCGAAGGCAGCCUCCAGGGCCGAUACUGACGCUCAUGCACGAAAGCGUGGGGGAGCAAACAGGAUUAGAUACCCUGGUAGUCCACGCCCUAAACGAUGUCGACUAGGUGUUGGGAGAGGAGACUUUCUUGGUACCGCAGCUAACGCGUGAAGUCGACCGCCUGGGGAGUACGGCCGCAAGGUUAAAACUCAAAGGAAUUGACGG
rnacentral:rRNA from 1 species